rnacentral:rRNA from 1 species
AUUGAACGCUGGCGGCAGGCCUAACACAUGCAAGUCGAACGAGUGGCGGACGGGUGAGUAAUGUCUGGGAAACUGCCUGAUGGAGGGGGAUAACUACUGGAAACGGUAGCUAAUACCGCAUACCAUCGGAUGUGCCCAGAUGGGAUUAGCUAGUUGGUGGGGUAACGACUCACCUAGGCGACGAUCCCUAGCUGGUCUGAGAGGAUGACCAGCCACACGGGAACUGAUGCACGGUCCAGACUCCUACGGGAGGCAGCAGUGGGAAAUAUUGGACAAUGGGCGCAAGCCUGAUGCAGCCAUGCGGCGUGUAUGAAGAAGGCCUUCGGGUUGAAAAGUACUUUCAGCGGGGAGGCGUUACCCGCAGAAGAAGCACCGGCUAACACCGUGCCAGCAGCCGCGGUAAUAC